AGUGAACGCUGGCGGUAGGCCUAACACAUGCAAGUCGAACGGCAGCACAGUAAGAGCUUGCUCUUACGGGUGGCGAGUGGCGGACGGGUGAGGAAUACAUCGGAAUCUACUUUUUCGUGGGGGAUAACGUAGGGAAACUUACGCUAAUACCGCAUACGACCUACGGGUGAAAGCAGGGGAUCUUCGGACCUUGCGCGAUUGAAUGAGCCGAUGUCGGAUUAGCUAGUUGGCGGGGUAAAGGCCCACCAAGGCGACGAUCCGUAGCUGGUCGGAGAGGAUGAUCGGCCACACUGGAACUGGGACACGGUCCAGGCUCCUACGGGAGGCAGCAGUGGGGAAUAUUGGGCAAUGGGCGCAAGCCUGAUCCAGCCAUACCGCGUGGGUGAAGAAGGCCUUCGGGUUGUAAAGCCCUUUUGUUGGGAAAGAAAAGCAGCAGGUUAAUACCCCGCUGUUCUGACGGUACCCAAAGAAUAAGCACCGGCUAACUUCGUG
rnacentral:rRNA from 1 species